GGUAGACUGUAUAUUCCAGCUCUUUUGUACAAUGGAAGAAUAAACAAUUCCCUGAGUAAGUGUGUGCUGCAAGCCCAUUGCUUCACUUAAUCUCCUGGAGAAGAGAGGAAAGGGAAGUCUUCUGUGGUACAGCAGAUGAAGUUUGUCUGGAAGUCCCUGUCUCUGCAGAGUGGGACUGCAAUAUUUGAGAAGAAAAAAAUUAAAUCAGGCCAUUAUGUUCAUCCUCCUCCAAGAAGCGAGAAUUUUUUUCUUUAAAAUUCAAGGAAAUUUUUUUCUUUAAAAUUCAAGGAAAUUUUUCUGCAAGUCUUGACUGCCCUUUUUUACAACAACAAACUGCAGUGAAGCAAUCCAAAGCCAACACAGAUUUAUGGCUGAAACAACCUCCUGAUUUUAGACACCAGCUCUAUAAGUCAUCCAACCUUCCUCAGAAGCCACAAGGAAAGGGAAAAGGGGAACUGAAGUCAAAAAAGACGCCUGAGGCCACAGUCAUGCCAGAGCUACACUUAGGGUUGGGAAAACCACAAACCAAGGAUUUCAGAGACAAUGACACUACAAAGGCAUGCCAAGGGGGGCACAGCACUGCCCCAACAUUGCUCCCUCCACACCUUUCUCCUUGGCACCACCCACGUAUGGAGGGUCUAACCUGAUUUUUAUUUAUGCCUCAACAUUUGUUAUGCAUGAUAUGCAAACUUUCUUUAUGUGUUGUACUGACACGAUAGAAAGCUCAGUCCUCUGGCAGCUUCGUUUGACAGACAACGAGGGGAGAAAAAUUCCCACACUCUGUCUUCAAGGGCUUCCCCCUUGCAGAUGAGGUAGAUCACUGGCUUCCCAGGAGAAAAGUGUCACAGUUUUGGAGGCAGACCAGAGCCCGGACACACUGAGUUCAUGCAGAAAGUUCUCCUCACUGAGCUCACCUCCUUUUAUACCUGGCUGAGCCAGUCCCUUCCUGGCCAGCCAGCCCGGUGGAGCCUGAGCCCCCGGCCUGGGCCUGCUCCCGCCGGUCGAAUGAUGCAAGUAAGGUAAUUAUGUAAUGGAUCACAUAUUUCUGCUAUAAAUUUGUAAUUAUUUAUACUCUGAGGCUUACAGGCCAGCUGUAGACCACCACCCUUUCGGCCUUCGCCUCAAUUCAACAGGCCCGGGCCCUUUCUAGUUGGUGAUGGAUCCCAUAUAUUCUUGAAUUUGUGACAUUCACUCUAGGGAGCCGUCAGGUGGGACCAUUAGCAAUACAAGUUAUCAAUGUGGCAUGUUGCAUGCUUAUAGCCCAACACUUACAAACUUACAACUUAGCUCUAACACAGGAAACAACUUGGCAGUUACAAAUGUACAACUUAACUCUAAAAAUAAGAAACAGCUCAACCUAAAACCAGGAAACAUUUCCAUUUUCAGAACUGUGGGAAAAACAACCAACAACCAACAACCAACAGGCCUGUGGUCUAUAUUCUUAAAUAAAUAAAAUAUUUAGUCUUAAUUUCUUUAAAUAUAUUAAAUCCCUUUAAUAGUGCCACCUGUUUUAGGAUAUACAAAGUACUAGGCGUUCCUCCGUUCCUGUUUAAAAAAUAUAUUUUAAAGUGCUAUGUAGGGGAUACCAGUGGUGUAACACACCCUAAAGCUGUAAGAAUUGUAUUUAGUAAGGUAACUGCUUCUGAAAUUGCUAUUUACAAGACUAAUUCAAAAUCUCCUUUCCAGAAAGAUGUUACACUUUGUUUUCUGAUUUCAAUAUUUCAAUUCCUUUGAUGAAAUGAAGAAUUUCAAUCUUGUGAUUUCAAUGAGAAUAAAUUUGGCAAGGUUUGGUCCAUCA